CCCGUGGCAUGCUGAUCCACGAUUACUAGCGAUUCCACCUUCAUGCACUCGAGUUGCAGAGUGCAAUCUGAACUGAGACGGCUUUUUGAGAUUAGCUCCAGGUCGCCCUAUCGCUGCCCAUUGUCACCGCCAUUGUAGCACGUGUGUAGCCCAGCCCAUAAGGGCCAUGAGGACUUGACGUCAUCCCCGCCUUCCUCCGGCUUGUCACCGGCGGUUUCUUUAGAGUGCCCAGCAUUACCUGAUGGCAACUAAAGAUGGGGGUUGCGCUCGUUGCGGGACUUAACCCAACAUCUCACGACACGAGCUGACGACAGCCAUGCAGCACCUGUGUGGUAGCCAGCCGAACUGAAGGAACCCGUCUCCGGAACCCAAACUACCCAUGUCAAGGGCU
rnacentral:rRNA from 1 species